AAAAAGGCAAACCCUGAAUUUUCGUGUCCAACUUUAACUGUCCGUCUUAUAUGAAAUUUUUUUAUAAUUUAUAUUUUUAUUAUGGUUAGAUGAUCAAACAUGAUUAAUAUUUUAUGCGUGACUUGUCUUUUUAAUUUUUACCAUAAUUUUUUAAAAUAAGACGGACGGUCAAACGUUAGACACGGAAACCAGGUUUCUCUUUUU
rfam:Oryza sativa Japonica Group DNA, chromosome 3, cultivar: Nipponbare, complete sequence.